rnacentral:rRNA from 1 species
AAUGCAAACUGCAUACUGCUUUGAACAUCGACAUCUUGAACGCAUAUUGCGGCCAUGGGUUAGCCUGUGGCCACGCCUGUCCGAGGGUCGGCUUAUAAAUAUCACGACGCCCAAAAAGUCGUGGCUUGGGUUUUGCCAGCUGGCGUGAUCUCCUCUAUGAGUAAUCAUGUGAGGUGCCAGAUCUAUGGCGUUUCCCUAAGUAUCCGGAUGCACCCUUGUCUUGGCAGAAAGCCGUGGUGAGGUGCAGUGGCGGAAUCGUGGUUUAAUAAUCGGGUUGGUACUCAGUUGUCAGUGUGUUCGGCGAUCCCCUAGUCGGCACACUCAUGAUUUCUGGGAUAAUUCCAUACCAGGCACGUUCCGUUACUGUUACUUUGUCAUUGGUUUGAUGCUGAACUUGGUCAUGUGUCUGAUGCUAUUUCAUAUAACGACGGUACCCUUCGUGGUCUGUCUUCCUGACCUCGGUUCAGACGUGAUUACCCGCUGAACUUAAGCAUAUCACUAAGCGGAGGAAAAGAAACUAA